rnacentral:rRNA from 1 species
GAUGAACGCUGGCGGCGUGCUUAACACAUGCAAGUCGAACGAUGAAGCCCAGCUUGCUGGGUGGAUUAGUGGCGAACGGGUGAGUAACACGUGAGUAACCUGCCCUUGUCUCUGGGAUAAGCCUGGGAAACUGGGUCUAAUACUGGAUAUGACUUCUCAUCGCAUGGUGGGGGGUGGAAAGAUUUAUUGGUCUUGGAUGGACUCGCGGCCUAUCAGCUUGUUGGUGAGGUAAUGGCUCACCAAGGCGACGACGGGUAGCCGGCCUGAGAGGGUGACCGGCCACACUGGGACUGAGACACGGCCCAGACUCCUACGGGAGGCAGCAGUGGGGAAUAUUGCACAAUGGGCGCAAGCCUGAUGCAGCGACGCCGCGUGAGGGAUGACGGCCUUCGGGUGGUAAACCUCUGUCAGUAGGGAAGAAGCGAGAGUGACGGCACCUGCAGAAGAAGCGCCGGCUAACUACGUG